GUUAGAGGGGGGGGGGGACACAUUUUAUUUUUCUUUCGGAGCGAUUAUCUCCGAAUAUAUUCACUUUAUCAAAAAAUGUUUGUUGAAGACCCCUAUUAGUUUUGAAAUACCUUUCCAACGAUACCCCACACUGUAGGAUAUAAGCAAAAAAAAAUUCACCCCCACUUUACGUGUAGGGGAGGUACCCUCAAAAAAAUUAAAUUUUUAGAUUUUAUUGUACGACUUUGUCGGCUUUAUUGAUUUAUAUAUCCAUGCCGAAUUUCAGCUUUCUAGCACUAACGACCACGGAGCAAAGCCUCGGACAGACAGACAGACAGACAGACAGAUGGACAUGGCGAAACUAUAAGGGUUCCUAGUUGACUACGGAACCCUAAAAAUGUUUUUUUAUAAAUACAAAUGAGUUUGACUCAUACUUCUUUAUCCCCACCUUUUUCAAAUCGGGCACGAGCAGCGGUCCGAUCGCAAGCCUUUGUUUAUUAAUAAUGCAAGGCUCUUAGUGGGAGUUCAAUGAAUAGUACACACCAAAGAGCCAAUACAUAUUAAUUUCGCAAUGUUCCUUCUGGAGAAGGUCCAUGAAACUUUUGUAUAAUGUAGAAUAUAAACUGGUUCAUUUUUGAAAAAAAAAUGGUGUGUGUACCAUGAGUCAAACUUGAUAUACAGGGUGAUUCUUUUUUUAUUUUUGUUUUUUUUACAAGAAUUUAAAUGUUUAGGGGGUUAAUAUUUUUUUAGCACAUAGCUUUUAGUCUUAUUAAUAUUUGUACAAAAUUUGACAUUCGUCACUUUCAUAGUUUAGGAAAAAAUAAUUAAAAAUAGUUUUGGGGUUAAUCGGGUGUUUUUCAUCCCCAGGGGGUAAUAGAGGGAUGAAACUUUGUGCAGAGUAUAACCUCCCUAAAAGGCAUCGUUUGAUUACAGUUUCGGCCCAAAAUCGCUGGGGGCAAUUUUUCCUAGGCUAUCCUGCUACACCCUUUGAAAACGAACGCAACAGCAUGCUCAAAACCCCCUGUGAGUCAGAAUCUGUUAAAUUCAGGCUUAAGACGAAACAGGAGCUGAGCCCGUACACAAAUUUGAGAUUUUUAGGUAAAAGGUAAAAAAUAUCGCCGUCGCGCUGACGAGUGUGGCCCCCGUACCUAGCUAGAGACUAUCCCUUGUGUGUGUACCAACAAACCAAAUUUUAGACAAAUAUGAUACGUCUUCUUCUUCUUUGUCGUUGUACUCUUUGCAGAGCGUCGUGGUCAACUGCUGAUAUCAGGCGCAGAUGUUGCUUGCCGUACGAUUUCUCGCCAUUUUUCGCGGUUGGGGGCCAUUCUGGCAAAUGCGUUGAUUUGAUCAGUCCAUCGCAUAGGUGGCCUUUUGCGCGGUCUUUUUCCGUUUGCUCUACCCUGCACCACUAGACGCUCUAUGGAGCCGUUGUUCCUCCCCGAGACGUGACCGAAAAAACUGAGUAUGCGGGUCUUUACGAGAGUCGAAAGGUCUUGAUACGGAGUUCUUUAAGGAUGGAGACAUUAGUCCGAAACUCGGUCCAGGAUAUCCCCAGCAUUUUCCUCCAGCACCAUAUUUCUAUGGCGUCUAUCGUCUUCUCCUCUGUCUUUCGGAUAGUCCAGGUCUCCGCAGCGUAUAAGAAUAUAGGAAAAACGAGGGCCCGUACAAGCCGAACCUUCGUGGUGUUUGUGACGUUUCGGUGAUACGUAGCCUAUACGUAAAAACUAGCCAAGACAAAUCCUUUAUAAUUUCAGGAUUUUCUACACAGCACAGAAAAUGGCACCCAUAUAGAUCUCAAUUCCGUUGUCGGCGAGUCAACAACGACACAUAUUCUUAGUAUUGAACUUAAUUGGCUCUCAUUUCACAUUUAUGUUUUAAAUUAAUUAUAGGCAUAGACAUACCAUAUCCUAUUGUAAGUACAAAGUUUCAGAGCAAUCUAGCAAGUCAUUUUAAAAUUAGAGCGUAACUACAUUUGUAUGGAGAACCGAAUUUGCUGCGGACGCACAAUGUAGCAUAAUCGGAUUAGGACCAACCUCGAAAUCUCUGUAACAGUCAUGAAAUUUAUUAUGUAUAUAAAUUAAAGGCCCCGUUUUCAUGCCCAAACCAUUUAACAUUUGGGAACCUCGAGGAAUCCAAACCAUCUUGGAAAAUGUGUACCAUCAACACAACAGUCAACAUUAAAACUUAUUAAAUUCUACACAAAAAAGUCCUCGAUAUCUUUGCAGAACAAUACAUCUUGUUAUAGAGAAUACUUGCUGAAUCUAAGUUUAACGCUUAUACACUUCCAGGGGACAUUCUCUUAAAAGGAAACUCGGAGGAAUAUGAAUUCUAUUUUUAACUAUACAUUUGUACGUGGUCUACCCCAAUAUUAACAUUUUACUCUACUGUGACUAAACCAGAAAGAAGGGUGGUAAGGGUUAUGAUGAUUCAGUACACCCAGUAGCUAGGUAUUAGGAUACUGGACGGAUUUUUUUAAAUGACGUAUCGUUAGAUUCCUCUUGCCAUUCACAACCUACUUUUACUUGUUCUAUUAAAGAAAAAUCAAUACAGCCGCCUUGAGAGGACUCCGAAUAUUAAAUCAUAUUUUUUCUUCUAGCGCCUAAACUAUUGAGCGGAGUACAGUAAAACAGACAUCAGUAGAUCCACAGUAUACAAGUGCUAUGCAAUACAAAGUUACUAAAAUUAACGGAAGAAAAAGGUUUAGGGCUAAAUAAUACGUCAUUUAAAAAAUCCGUCCAGUAUCCUAAGCUACAGGGUGUCCUGAAUCCUCAGUACUUAUACCCAUAACCCUACUUUCUGGUUAAGUUGCAGUCAAGUAAAAUAUUGAUAUUGGGGUAGAUUAUGUACAAAUGUAUAGUUAAAAGUGGAAUUUUUAUUCUUCCAAGUUUCCUAUUAAGAGAAUAUCCCAUGAAAGGGUAUAAGGGCUAAAUCUGGGUUUAGCAAGUAUUUUUUAAAGCAAGAUCAUUUUUUUUCGCAAAGAUGUCUAAAACUAUUUUAUGUAGAAUUUUAUAAGCUUGAAUGUUGCCUUACACGAUUAUUGAAUAAAGAACGUAGAUUUAGAGUAAAACGCGAAUUUCUCCUGGAUGGUCCACAUUUUCCAAGAUGGCUGCGGUUCCUCGAGGUCCCCAAAUGUCAAAUGGUGUGGGCAUGAAAAAGGGGCCUUUAAGGGGCGUAUAUACAUACCAAAUUUCAUGACUGUUCAGACAUUUCGAGUUUGGUCCUAAUCCGACUGUGCUAAUGCCACUAUGUACGUAAACUGUAACUGUACUGCGGACUCAACCUUCACGUUAUAAUUUUUUAAGUAUUAACGUUGACAUAGUAACGAAAAUAAUAAACACGUCAAUUGAAGUAAACAAUAUUAUUAUAUGCAAGAAAAUUUUGCAAAAUAGGUACAUUAAUGAUUAAUAUGUAAAACACCAUUAAUUAUUGAAUUAUAAUUAUGAUUUUGUGUUAAAAAAUAUGAGACCAAUUAUACAGCCCGAUUACACGGGCUACAUAUUAAAAAUGAUUAUCAUGGAAACAGUAAAUAUACACAGAUGUCGAACUACCAGCAAAGUUUUUGAAGAGGUGUAGUUUUUAUAUUUCCUGGUACCAAACUGAUACAGGAAAUUGGAACAUCAAUAAAUAAUCUACACCGAAGACAAUGAAAUAUAGUCACAUAAUACUUUAAUGUUUUAUUUUAUUAAAAAAAUCGGUAAAAAAAUGUGUUUACUGAAAAAGAAAAA